ACACAAUGUGAGGGAACCUUCUCAAUAAAUCCUUGUAUCUCUCUCAUGCAUCAUCAAGUGUUUCUAAAUCCAUAUGCACAAAAAAAGAGAUAUCAUUCCUCAAUUU
rfam:Gossypium arboreum cultivar AKA8401 contig_104386_1, whole genome shotgun sequence.